GCAUUACUANNNNNNGAGGCACUNNNNGCCCAGUGACAYACGUUUAACGGCCGCGGUACCCUGACCGUGCAAAGGUAGCAUAAUCACUUGUUCCUUAAAUAGGGACUCGUAUGAAUGGCACCACGAGGGUUUAACUGUCUCUUACUUUCAACCAGUGAAAUUGACCUGUCCGUGAAGAGACGGACAUGAAGCAAUAAGACGAGAAGACCCUGUGGAGCUUCAAUUUAUUAGURCAACUAAAAACCGUACAAVSCAACAGGUCCUAAACCCCUACAUCUGUGCUAAAARUUUUGGUUGGGGCGACCUCGGAGCACAACUAAACCUCCGAAUAAUCCACGCUAAGACUACACAAGUCAAAGCAAACUGACACUUACAAUUGACCCAAURAUUUGAUCAACGGAACAAGUUACCCCAGGGAUAACAGCGCAAUUCUAUUCUAGAGUCCAUAUCAACAAUAGAGUUUACGACCUCGAUGUUGGAUCAGGACAUCCUGAUGGUGCAGCAGCUAUCAAGGGUUCGUUUGUUCAACG
rnacentral:rRNA from 1 species